AACGAACGCUGGCGGCGUGCCUAACACAUGCAAGUCGAACGAGAAAGUUUCCUUCGGGAAACCAGUAAAGUGGCGCAAGGGUGAGUAACACGUGAAUAAUCUGCCUAUGAAUUCGGGAUAACUUGACGAAAGUUGCGCUAAUACCGAAUAAGACCACGUCUCUUAUGUGAUGUGGCCAAAGGAGUCUCAAACUCCGUUUAUAGAUGAGUUCGCGGACCAUUAGCUUGUUGGCGGGAUAAUAGCCCACCAAGGCUACGAUCAGUAGCUGGUCUGAGAGGAUGAUCAGCCACACUGGGACUGAGACACGGCCCAGACUCCUACGGGAGGCAGCAGUGGGGAAUUUUCCGCAAUGGACGAAAGUCUGACGGAGCAACGCCGCGUGAGGGAUG
rnacentral:rRNA from 1 species